rnacentral:sRNA from 1 species
GCGCAGCGGAGCGGGCCCGGCUGAGCUAGCUUUAUAUAUAUCGUCGUCGAAUUUCUGACUUCGACUGGUGAAAAUUCAAGUUCAUAUUUCGUUGCUGUUAUGCCAAAAAUAGAGAUACGUUUGUUCUGGAUGAUACGCAGCCCGAUAACAGCACUUAUCACCGUAACCGACAGGGAUAACUAUGAGUACAACAUAUGCUGAAUAUGCAGCUGAAACCUACCGGGCAACCCAGAUACCUCUGGACGUACCCUAUCUUAGUCGUUGUGUUCCUGGAUCUGGAUACUCAACAGAAUCAAGCAGACGAAAGAUAGAACACAACACACUGCUACAACAACAACAAUAAUUACUACGAAGACGAGCCUUAAAUUUUGUCAGCAUUUUUAAAAAAUCAAGCUGAAUUUUUUCCAAAACGA